ensembl:snoRNA snoRNA:Me18S-A425
GUCUGGAUGAUGAAACGAUGGUAUCUGAAUGAGCAAAUUAUUGUUGAGAAGCCUUUUACCAUCUGCUGCCUUCCUUCUGAUCGG